rnacentral:rRNA from 1 species
UACAGAGGUCUCAAGCGUUGUUCGGAUUCAUUGGGCGUAAAGAGCUCGUAGGCGGCUCGGUAAGUCGGGUGUGAAACCUCCAGGCUCAACCUGGAGACGCCACCUGAUACUGCUGUGGCUAGAGUCCGGUAGGGGAGUGUGGAACUCCUGGUGUAGCGGUGAAAGUGCGCAGAUAUCAGGAGGAACACCUGUGGUGUAGACGGCUUACUGGACCAUGACUGACGCUGAGGCACGAAAGCGUGGGGAGCAAACAGG